rnacentral:rRNA from 1 species
GACGAACGCUGGCGGCGUGCCUAACACAUGCAAGUCGAGCGGGGAUUUAAGUGGAAGUUCUUCGGAAUGGAGAUUUAAAUUCUAGCGGCGGACGGGUGAGUAACGCGUGAACAAUCUGUCCCGGACAGGGGGAUAACACUUGGAAACAGGUGCUAAUACCGCAUAAGACCACGGCCUCGCAUGGGGCUGAGGUAAAAGGAGCAAUCCGGUUCGGGGUGAGUUCGCGUCCGAUUAGCUAGUUGGUGAGGUACCGGCCCACCAAGGCGACGAUCGGUAGCCGGCCUGAGAGGGUGAACGGCCACAUUGGAACUGAGAGACGGUCCAAACUCCUACGGGAGGCAGCAGUGGGGAAUAGUGGGCAAUGGGCGAAAGCCUGACCCAGCAACGCCGCGUGAGGGAAGAAGGUUUUCGGAGUGUAAACCUCUGUCCUAUGGGACGAAGGAAGUGACGGUACCAUAGGAGGAAGCCCCGGCUAACUACGUG